AUGAGGAGAAGGUUUCAAGACAUUCUUAUGAAAAUAUAUAUAGAAAUUAAAAUCAUAUUUAACUUUAUUUUACAAUCUCUAAUAGUGUCAAUAACAUUAAUGAUUUGUCCAUCAUUCAUCACAAAUGUCUGCAUUUCACACGAGGUGGUGACAUUGGAGGAGCUUGUCUUCAACUUGAAAACCUUUUUUCUAAGAAUAGUGUUACCGGUUGCACUCUUGCCAUUGCUGGUUUGCUCAAACAAAACCAAUGUCUUGACAUUAUUAGACGGGGAAGCAAACUCCCAAUCAUCAAGGGAAACAACAUAA